rnacentral:rRNA from 1 species
GGUUUGAUUAUGGCUCAGAUUGAACGCUGGCGGGAUGCUUUACACACGUAAGUCGAACGGCAGCACGGACUUCGGUCUGGUGGCGAGUGGCGAACGGGUGAGUAAUGUAUCGGAACGUGCCUAGUAGCGGGGGAUAACUACGCGAAAAAGGAAGCAUACCGCAUAUUGCCCUUCGGGGGAAAGCGGGGACCUUCGGGCCCUGCACUAUUAGAGCGGCCGAUAUCGGAUUAGCUAGUUGGUGGGGUAACGGCUCACCAAGGGCGACGAUCCGUAGCUGGUUUGAGAGGACGACCAGCCACACUGGGACUGAGACACGGCCCAGACUCCUACGGGAGGCAGCAGGGGAAUUUUGGACAAUGGGAAAACCUGAUCCAGCCAUCCCGCGUGUGCGAUGAAGGCCUUCGGGUUGUAAAGCACUUUUGGCAGGGAAAGAAACGCGCACGGGAUAAUACCCCGUGCAACUGACGGUACCUGCAGAAUAAGCACCGCCAACUACGUGCCAGUAGCCGCGGUAAUACGUAGGGUGUAAGCGUUAAUCGGAAUUACCGGGCGGAAGCGUGCGCAGGCGGUUCGGAAAGAAAGAUGUGAAAUCCCAGAGCUUAACUUUGGAACUGCAUUUUUAACUACCGGAGCUAGAGUGUGUCAGAGGAGGUGGAAUUCCGCGUGUAGCAGUGAAAUGCGUAGAUAUGCGGAGGAACACCGAUGGCGAAGGCAGCCUCCUGGGAUAACACUGACGCUCAUGCACGAAAGCGUGGGGAGCAAACAGGAUUAGAUACCCCGGUAGUCCACGCCCUAAACGAUGUCAACUAGCUGUUGGGGCCUUCGGGCCUUGGUAGCGCAGCUAACGCGUGAAGUUGACCGCCUGGGGAGUACGGUCGCAAGAUUAAAACUCAAAGGGAUUGACGGGGACCCGCACAAGCGGUGGAUGAUGUGGAUUAAUCUGAUGCAACGCGAAAACCCUUACCUACCCUUGACAUGUCUGGAAUCCCGAAGAGAUUUGGGAGUGCUCGCAAGAGAACCGGAACACAGGUGCUGCAUGGCUGUCGUCAGCUCGUGUCGUGAGAUGUUGGGUUAAGUCCCGCAACGAGCGCAACCCUUGUCAUUAGUUGCUACGAAAGGGCAAUUUCAUCGAGACUGCCGGUGACAAACCGGAGAAGGUGGACGACGUCAAGUCCCCAUGGCCUCAUGGGUAGGGCUUCACACGUCAUACAAUGGUCGGGACAGAGGGUCGCCAACCCGCGAGGGGGGAGCCAAUCCCAGAAAACCGAUCGUCCGGAUCGCAGUCUGCAACUCGACUGCGUGAAGUCGGAAUCGCUAGUAAUCGCGGAUCAGCAUGUCGCGGUGAAUACGUUCCCGGGUCUUGUACACACCGCCCGUCACACCAUGGGAGUGGGUUUUACCAGAAGUAGUUAGCCUAACCGUAAGGAGGGCGAUUACCACGGUAGGAUUCAUGACUGGGGUGGCUGUAACAAGGUAG